CGUUCCCCCCACUCCUCUUCUACAUGUGGCUCUGCUACCCCAGACAGAUGCUAUUCUACAAAAAAAACAGAACCGCCGCAUCCAAAAAAAAAAAACACAGAGCCGCGAAACGCCGAGACAGAGAUAGCAAUUUGAUUUUGAGGGUCCUUCACCAUUCUCUUUGAUUUUCGGGUUGUGGCCUACUUCCUCUCAAAAGAGAUGAAGUGGAAUACUCUAAUUUCAUCACAGCAAAGCGAAAGACCAAAUCUAUAUAGUUUAGAAGCUGUCUGCAAAUCCCAGCAAUAGCAAAGUGAAAAGGGAAAAGAAAGCUAUGAGUAAUGGACAUAGACAUGAGUUAUUAAAACACUAAACAAUUGUAUCUUUUUGGUGGUUUGCUAUUGGUAAUUCUUUUCUUCACAAUCAUGCUAUUGUUUUCUGUUUUUAAUUUUUAAUUUUUAUAAUAACAAACAUUUAUAACUAAGGCAUUGAAAUAUUUUGUGC